rnacentral:rRNA from 1 species
AACGAACGCUGGCGGCAUGCCUAACACAUGCAAGUCGAACGAGACCUUCAGGUCUAGUGGCGCACGGGUGCGUAACGCGUGGGAACCUGCCCUUAGGUUCGGAAUAACUCCCCGAAAGGGGUGCUAAUACCGGAUAAUGUCUUCGGACCAAAGAUUUAUCGCCUUUGGAUGGGCCCGCGUUGGAUUAGCUAGUUGGUAGGGUAAAAGCCUACCAAGGCGACGAUCCAUAGCUGGUCUGAGAGGAUGAUCAGCCACACUGGGACUGAGACACGGCCCAGACUCCUACGGGAGGCAGCAGUGGGGAAUAUUGGACAAUGGGCGAAAGCCUGAUCCAGCAAUGCCGCGUGAGUGAUGAAGGCCUUAGGGUUGUAAAGCUCUUUUACCCGGGAUGAUAAUGACAGUACCGGGAGAAUAGGCUCCGGCUAACUCCGUG